GUUGAUUAAUACCUAGGAAUCUGCCUGGUAGUGGGGGACAACGUUUCGAAAGGAACGCUAAUACCGCAUACGUCCUACGGGAGAAAGCAGGGGACCUUCGGGCCUUGCGCUAUCAGAUGAGCCUAGGUCGGAUUAGCUAGUUGGUGAGGUAAUGGCUCACCAAGGCUACGAUCCGUAACUGGUCUGAGAGGAUGAUCAGUCACACUGGAACUGAGACACGGUCCAGACUCCUACGGGAGGCAGCAGUGGGGAAUAUUGGACAAUGGGCGAAAGCCUGAUCCAUCCAUGCCGCGUGUGUGAAGAAGGUCUUCGGAUUGUAAAGCACUUUAAGUUGGGAGGAAGGGCAGUAAGCGAAUAACUUGCUGUUUUGACGUNCCGACGGAUUANCCCCGCUACUCUGUCCNGNGCCGCGGUAACG
rnacentral:rRNA from 1 species